GUCCAGGGUACUUAAUCUUCUUUCUUCUUCUAAAUUACCCCAUAAGAUAUUCUGCACAGCCAACGUGGGCUUACAAUAAACUGAUUCCCCUUGACACACUGCAUACAUGUAACAUUUGCUUUAUUUUAUUAUCCUGAUCAGCUUUCAAGUCAUUGAAGGAAAAGGUGGAGAAAGACACACGCAGUCACUUCAUUGCAAGGACAGGUACAGAGACUUGCGGCCACCUGAAAAAGAAGCAUUUCUACUUCGUCUGUCACCGGUCUGGAAGUUAUGCUUCACAAGCUACAAGUAAACAAAAGCUGAAGCGGCCUUCAAGUGUCAAGUGUGGAAAAAGAUGUUUUGCGGCAAUGGCUGUGACUGAAGACAACACAGGUGUGUAUGUGGUUUUCCAAUUCAAGCACAGAGGCCACGGCUUUGAACUGGGUCGUGUUUUUCUGUCCAAGUCGGAAAGAGCUGCUAUUGCUGACAAGCUGCGAGAAGGCGUGUCCAUGGAUGCAGU
rnacentral:lncRNA from 1 species